UGAUCAGUGACUAGCUGGUGUUCUUCAUUCUUGUCAAGUUUGUGUUUUUUUUUCUUUUCUUUUUUUCUUCUGGAGGCUAUGUUAUGUUCUGUGUUGACUUGUUUUAAGCUGCACAAGGCUAAAACUUGGUCAAUCUAUUUAUACCUCGUUGUAUCUUUUCUCGUUUAUGUCAUAAUAACAUUUUCUUUUGGAAGAUGGAUCAGGAUGUUUGGUCAUGUUCUGCUCUUAACUCAGCUAAACAAAAUCAUUGUGACUGUACAUCAAAAAACACUUUUAAUGAAAUACAUCCUUAUUAUUAAACUGAAAAUCAAAGUACAAAUUCUAUUGUUAAGGUGUUUAGGUAUGUAUAUCUAUCAAUUUUCUUAGUGAUAAUUUGGUAAGCGAGUUAUAUCUCUUCUGGUUCUUGUCAUGAGGAUCAUAACCAGAUUCAUUUCGAGUUUUCGACCAAAUAGAUGAGGAUAUUGACUAUGUUCUGCUCUUAACUCGGACUCAACUUGAUGGAAGUUCAGUGACUUUGGUGUCCUAGUCAAGUUAAGCAGAUUGCACUAGGCCUUAGAUCUUGGCAAGCAAGUGCCUCACAACUCAAAGAGGUAAGGUAAUGUAUCUUCGAGAACAUGUUAGCCAAAUUAAAACUACCAAAAGACCUCUUUAUUCAAAUUUUCCUACAUAAUGGCUACAAUAAAUCUUCUGAGCAACUAAACGGCAAUGUCAAAAUUAAUUGCGUUGGUUUACCCGAAAACUGAUAACCUAACCGGAAUCUCGUACCGAUAAUGCGUUUGUGCCGCCGUCUUUAAACAAAGAAAAACAAUUUUCUCCGACAGAGCUGCAACACCGAACUAAUCUGAUUGUCUUAGCUACGCAAAGUUCAAUUCCAGUAAGAUUAACUAAUCAGAACCCUAGUAUAACAGGGUUUCAAUAAAGCGUAGUAGUGUUGACAAAAGCAAUAGAACCCAGAAGAAACCGAUCUAAAUUUUUUUCAAAAAGCUGGAAACUUUCUCUUCCACGCAGAUUUGUUUCCUAAACUUCAUUUACGGUUCCCGAGAACUUUCAAGAACCCUAAGAAACGAAAACCCAGAAGAACAGAACGGAGGAAACCCCAAAAAACGAAAACACAGAAGAACAGAUGAAGAAGACGAAAUCGAUUUUGAAAGUUUUUUAGAAAAAAAAAAUUUGGACCAUUUCUCGAUUUGUGCGUGUCAUCCUUGCGCAGGGGCCAUGCUAAUCUUCUCUGUAUCGUUCCAAUUUUAUCGGAUGUCCCCGAAGGGACAAUCACUCUUGUGACUCCAUCGCUAUAUAAACGCAGCUCCUUCUCUUCCCCUGAGCGAUGUGGGACUUUUAAGUUGUUAACUGUCGUCUUAUACAGCUUAAAUGGGCCUAUUUAUCAUAAGUCCUCUCUUUCUAUUAAUUGUACUAAGCCCAUUAACGUUGUCUUCCAUAUUCUCUUACCACCUUGCCCAAGUAGAUUUUAUGCUGUAUAUAAAGCUCAAUUUCAAAUACUAGAAUCUGAAAGUAGUAGUCACAUGAGCUCAAGCCAGAGCAUUGCUGCGGUUAUUAUGUACUGAUGUCUAAUGUAUAUGUAGAUGCUGAGAAAUACGAGCAAGUUUUGGACGUUAGAGACAUGAUCAGUGGCUAGCUGGUGUUCUUCAUGCUUGUCAAGUUUGUGUUUUUUUUUUUUUCUGGAGUCUAUGUCAUGUUCUGUGUUGACUUGUUUUAAGCUGCACAAGGCUAAAACUUGGUCAAUCUAGUCCUACCUCGUUGUAUCUUUUCUCGUUUAUUUCAUAAUAAUCAUAAUUAUUUUUUCUUUUGGAAGAUAGAUCUGGAUGUUUGGUCAUGAUCUGCUCUUCAAUCAGCUUAACAAAAUCAUUAUGAUUGUACAUCACACUUUUAAUGAAAUACAUCCUUAUUAUUAAACUGAAAGAUAUAUCUAAAUACAAAUUCAAUUGUUAAGUUAUUAAGGUAUGUACAUCUAACAGUUUUAUUAGUGUGAUAAUUUGGUAAGCCUUUUGGUUCUUGUCAUGAGGAUCAUAAGCAGAUUCAUUUAGACUGAUAGAUCAGGAAGUUCAGUGUCUUAUUCAAGUUUAGCAGAUUGCACUAGACGUA
rnacentral:lncRNA from 1 species